GGCCCGAUCCUCCCACCCUUUGUGUACCCACCUCUGUUGCUUUGGCGGGCCGCGGUCCUCCGCGGCCGCCCUCCGUCCGGGGGGUGGCCAGCGCCCGCCAGAGGACCAUCGAACUCCGGUCAGUGAACGUUGCCGUCUGAAAAACAAUCAAUAAACUAAAACUUUCAACAACGGAUCUCUUGGUUCUGGCAUCGAUGAAGAACGCAGCGAAAUGCGAUAAGUAAUGUGAAUUGCAGAAUUCAGUGAAUCAUCGAAUCUUUGAACGCACAUUGCGCCCCUCGGUAUUCCGAGGGGCAUGCCUGUUCGAGCGUCAUUACAACCCUCAAGCUCUGCUUGGUGUUGGGCACCGCCCUUCCGCGGGCGCGCCUCAAAGACCUCGGCGGUGGCGUCUUGCCUCGAGCGUAGUAGAAAACACCUCGCUUUGGAGCGCACGGCGCCGCCCGCCGGACGAACCUUUUGAACUUUCUCAAGGUUGACCUCGGAUCAGGUAGGGAUACCCGCUGAACUUAAGCAUAUCAAUAGGGCGGGAGGAAACCGAGUUGAUUCGGGCUCCGGCCCGAUCCUCCCACCUUUGUGUACCCACCUCUGUUGCUUUGGCGGGCCGCGGUCCUCCGCGGCGCCUCCUUCGGGGGGGUGGCCAGCGCGCCC
rnacentral:rRNA from 1 species